rnacentral:lncRNA from 1 species
CUGGAGUGGCCUUCAGUCAUCAACAGAAGAGUAGGAGAGGGACCAAGGCACUUGAAAGUUAUUUCUGGGGCUGGAGAGAUGGCUCAGUGGUUAAGUGCAUACGCUGUUCUUCCAGAGGACCAGAGUUCAGUUCCCAGCUCCACAUCAGAUGGUUCACAACUAUCUGUAACUCCAGCCCCAGAGGAUCCAGCAGUCUUGGCUCCAUUUGUAUCUGCACUCAUGCACAGACCCACACAGAUGCAUACUGUGGUGGUUUGUAUAUGUUUGGCCCAGGGAGGGGCACUAAAGGAUGAAGGCUGGUGCCAGGCAAGGAGAUGCUCACCUGAUGCCAGCAGAAGAGAAGCUCACCUCCUAGAAAGAGGUUGCAUCCAGUUCUAUUCUGCAAUUUGUCAGACCACCUCACAAGACAAUUUUAUGCUAAGACAAUAAUAGGUCAAUGAUGGGUGGAAUCACAUCUUGGCCUGGACGGGUUAGCCAUCCAUACAUACUACCUCUUGCAUUCUAUUUGAAACUAAGUCUCAUGCCAGGACUCCAGAGAUUAGCUCGGGGUGAGCCGCUGAAUCUUUUUGUUCCUCUUCCCUGUGUAUCCACAUUGAGCAGAUCUCCUUUUUCUGUUUUCAACUGUUUAUUGUGCCUUUCAGUGGCCUAAUGAGGACGCAUGGUUGAGCCCAGCGUGUUAAGGCUUCCAGGAAGCAGGCUCUGAGUCCAACAGCUGCAGAAACCCACAGAAGGACCAGC